GACGAACGCUGGCGGCGUGCUUAACACAUGCAAGUCGAACGGUGAACCAGAGCUUGCUCUGGGGAUCAGUGGCGAACGGGUGAGUAACACGUGGGCAACCUGCCCCAGACUCUGGGAUAACCUCGGGAAACCGAUGCUAAUACCGGAUACGACCACUUCGGACAUCCGACGGUGGUGGAAAGUUUUUCGGUCUGGGAUGGGCCCGCGGCCUAUCAGCUAGUUGGUGGGGUAAUGGCCUACCAAGGCGACGACGGGUAGCCGGCCUGAGAGGGCGACCGGCCACACUGGAACUGAGACACGGUCCAGACUCCUACGGGAGGCAGCAGUGGGGAAUAUUGCACAAUGGGCGAAAGCUUGAUGCAGCGACGCCGCGUGAGGGACGACGGCCUCGGUUGUAACCGUACUUUCUAGCAGGACGAAGCGAAAGUAGACUGUACCUGCAGAAGAAGACACCGGCUAACUACGUAGCCAGCAGCCGCGGUAAU
rnacentral:rRNA from 1 species